rnacentral:rRNA from 1 species
AUUGAACGCUGGCGGCAGGCCUAACACAUGCAAGUCGAGCGGAUGAGUGGAGCUUGCUCCAUGAUUCAGCGGCGGACGGGUGAGUAAUGCCUAGGAAUCUGCCUGGUAGUGGGGGACAACGUGUCGAAAGGAACGCUAAUACCGCAUACGCCCUACGGGAGAAAGCAGGGGGCCUUCGGGCCUUGCGCUAUCAGAUGAGCCUAGGUCGGAUUAGCUAGUUGGUGAGGUAAAGGCUCACCAAGGCGACGAUCCGUAACUGGUCUGAGAGGAUGAUCAGUCACACUGGAACUGAGACACGGUCCAGACUCCUACGGGAGGCAGCAGUGGGGAAUAUUGGACAAUGGGCGAAAGCCUGAUCCAGCCAUGCCGCGUGUGUGAAGAAGGUCUUCGGAUUGUAAAGCACUUUAAGUUGGGAGGAAGGGCAGUAAGUUAAUACCUUGCUGUUUUGACGUUACCGACAGAAUAAGCACCGGCUAACUCUGUGCCAGCCGCCGCGGUAAGAC